rnacentral:rRNA from 1 species
UACGUAGGGUGCGAGCGUUAAUCGGAAUUACUGGGCGUAAAGCGUGCGCAGGCGGUUUUGUAAGCCAGGCGUGAAAUCCCCGGGCUCAACCUGGGAAUGGCAUUUGGGACUGCAAGGCUGGAGUGCGGCAGAGGAGACUGGAAUUCCUGGUGUAGCAGUGAAAUGCGUAGAAAUGUGGAGGAACACCGAUGGCGAAGGCAGCCCCCUGGGCCGACACUGACGCUCAGGCACGAAAGCGUGGGGAGCAAACAGG